rnacentral:rRNA from 1 species
UACGAAGGGGGCGAGCGUUGUUCGGAAUUACUGGGCGUAAAGGGCGCGCAGGCGGCUCUGAAAGUCAGAUGUGAAAGCCCCGGGCUUAACCUGGGAAUUGCAUUUGAUACUCUGGAGCUUGAGUACGGGAGAGGAGAGUGGAAUUCCCAGUGUAGAGGUGAAAUUCGUAGAUAUCGGGAGGAACACCAGUGGCGAAGGCGGCGACCUGGGCCAAUAUUGACGCUAAUGUGCGAAAGCGUGGGGAGCAAACAGG